GAAAGGGCUGUUUGGGGUUGUGUCUGUUUGGAGAUCCCCGUAUCUUGCAACUUCUCCCUCACAACAUCCGCAGGAGAUGCAGCUUCCCCAAACGGCCGGAGGUUCAAACGUUCCUCUGGGGUGGCGCAGGGGCUGGGGCAGGAAGGUGUGAUUGGUGAGAGCGGGGCCCCCGCUGCGCUUUAAAGCCUCCGACUGCAAUCGCUGCGAGCAGAUGACGAGGUGUCACAGCACAUCCUGCACCCGGCCCCGACCAUGCAGCCCCUCCAGCGCUCCCACCUGCUCUUCCUCCUCGCCCUCCUUGUCCUCUGCAUGCCCUUUGGCCAGGCCGGGGAGGCAGCUGUGAGCACCACGACCACACCCCCCACCCCCCCCCAGCAAAAGAGCCUGAGCCCCGCCAUGGCCAGCCCGGCCCUCCUGCCCCUGGCCUUGGGGCUGGUCACUGCCUUCAUCCUACGCCUUUGCUGAGCCGGUUGUCCUCGCCGCCUCCUCCUCGGACCCUCGCAGCACGGAGGACCACCAUGGGAGGCCCACCAUCGCUCCCCUGCCUGCUUCCCCCUCCCUCCGGCCUCUCAGCAAGGCCCCGCUUGAGGGCCUGCUGCGAGGCCCUGAGAAAUAAAGCGCUGGUGUAGAAGGCC